rnacentral:rRNA from 1 species
UUUAAGUGAAGAGUUUGAUCCUGGCUCAGAGUGAACGCUGGCGGCAGGCCUAACACAUGCAAGUCGAACGGCAGCACAGUAAGAGCUUGCUCUUAUGGGUGGCGAGUGGCGGACG